AGAGUUUGAUCCUGGCUCAGAUUGAACGCUGGCGGCAGGCCUAACACAUGCAAGUCGAGCGGAUGAAAGGAGCUUGCUCCUGGAUUCAGCGGCGGACGGGUGAGUAAUGCCUAGGAAUCUGCCUGGUAGUGGGGGGCAACGUUUCGAAAGGAACGCUAAUACCGCAUACGUCCUACGGGAGAAAGCAGGGGACCUUCGGGCCUUGCGCUAUCAGAUGAGCCUAGGUCGGAUUAGCUAGUUGGUGAGGUAAUGGCUCACCAAGGCGACGAUCCGUAACUGGUCUGAGAGGAUGAUCAGUCACACUGGAACUGAGACACGGUCCAGACUCCUACGGGAGGCAGCAGUGGGGAAUAUUGGACAAUGGGCGAAAGCCUGAUCCAGCCAUGCCGCGUGUGUGAAGAAGGUCUUCGGAUUGUAAAGCACUUUAAGUUGGGAGGAAGGGUUGUAGAUUAAUACUCUGCAAUUUUGACGUUACCGACAGAAUAAGCACCGGCUAACUCUGUGCCAGCAGCCGCGGUAAUACAGAGGGUGCAAGCGUUAAUCGGAAUUACUGGGCGUAAAGCGCGCGUAGGUGGUUUGUUAAGUUGGAUGUGAAAUCCCCGGGCUCAACCUGGGAACUGCAUCCAAAACUGGCAAGCUAGAGUAUGGUAGAGGGUGGUGGAAUUUCCUGUGUAGCGGUGAAAUGCGUAGAUAUAGGAAGGAACACCAGUGGCGAAGGCGACCACCUGGACUGAUACUGACACUGAGGUGCGAAAGCGUGGGGAGCAAACAGAAGUAGAUACCCUGGUAGUCCACGCCGU
rnacentral:rRNA from 1 species